rnacentral:rRNA from 1 species
CCCAUAAGACUAAGCCAUGCAUGCCUUCGAUAAGAGGAAGCAAUUCUCUCUGAAUCUGCGAACGGCUCCGCAAACCAGUUGUAAACUAUAGCAAGCAAGCCCAGGUCCCCUUCACGGGGGGCUUGGGCAACACGGAUAACCCUGGUAAUUCUGAGGCUAAUACGAGAACGCAAUCCCUGAGCAACCGGGCAACUGGAAGCUUGGGAGGCGUGCAAGUUGUGUCGCGAGAAAUCGCCGGGAAUGGAUGCACGCCUGGACCGCGCCAAAGACAGAUGGGUGCUGCUUGCCUUCACGGGUCGGCGGUGCCUGCCUGAGCGGCUCUUGCAAUGUGCUUCUGACCUAUCAACUAGACGGCAGCAUAAGGGACAUGCUAUGGUUACAACGGGUACAGAGGAUUAGGGUUCGA